rnacentral:rRNA from 1 species
UACGUAGGGUGCGAGCGUUGUCCGGAAUUAUUGGGCGUAAAGAGCUUGUAGGCGGUUUGUCGCGUCUGCUGUGAAAAUCCGGGGCUCAACCCCGGACUUGCAGUGGGUACGGGCAGACUGGAGUGUGGUAGGGGAGACUGGAAUUCCUGGUGUAGCGGUGGAAUGCGCAGAUAUCAGGAGGAGCACCGGUGGCGAAGGCGGGUCUCUGGGCCGAUACUGACGCUGAGGAGCGAAAGCGUGGGGAGCGAACAGG